rnacentral:rRNA from 1 species
ACGAAGGGAGCUAGCGUUGUUCGGAAUCACUGGGCGUAAAGCGCACGUAGGCGGAUUUGUCAGUCAGGGGUGAAAUCCCGGGGCUCAACCUCGGAACUGUCUUUGAUACAGCAAGUCUUGAGUUCGAGAGAGGUGGGUGGAAUUCCUAGUGUAGAGGUGAAAUUCGUAGAUAUUAGGAAGAACACCGGUGGCGAAGGCGGCCCACUGGCUCGAUACUGACGCUGAGGUGCGAAAGCGUGGGGAGCAAACAGGA